GAUGAACGCUGGCGGCGUGCCUAAUACAUGCAAGUCGAGCGAACAGACGAGGAGCUUGCUCCUCUGACGUUAGCGGCGGACGGGUGAGUAACACGUGGAUAACCUACCUAUAAGACUGGGAUAACUUCGGGAAACCGGAGCUAAUACCGGAUAAUAUAUUGAACCGCAUGGUUCAAUAGUGAAAGACGGUUUUGCUGUCACUUAUAGAUGGAUCCGCGCCGCAUUAGCUAGUUGGUAAGGUAACGGCUUACCAAGGCGACGAUGCGUAGCCGACCUGAGAGGGUGAUCGGCCACACUGGAACUGAGACACGGUCCAGACUCCUACGGGAGGCAGCAGUAGGGAAUCUUCCGCAAUGGGCGGAAGCCUGACGGAGCAACGCCGCGUGGGUGAUGAAGGUCUUCGGAUCGUAAAACUCUGUUAUUAGGGAAGAACAAAUGUGUAAGUAACUAUGCACGUCUUGACGGUACCUAAUCAGAAAGCCACGGCUAACUACGUG
rnacentral:rRNA from 1 species